rnacentral:rRNA from 1 species
UUCGCAAUGCCCGAAAGGGUGACGAAGCGACGCCGCGUGGGUGAGGAAGGCCUUCGGGUUGUAAAGCCCUGUCAGGAGUUAAGAAAUGUAAGUGCGCUAAUAUCGCAUUUAUUUGACGAAGGCUCCAAGGGAAGUCACGGCUAACUCUGUGCCAGCAGCCGCGGUAAUACAGAGGUGGCAAGCGUUGUUCGGAAUUAUUGGGCGUAAAGAGCACGUAGGUGGGUUUGUAAGUCAGAUGUUAAAGCCUUCUGUUCAACGGAAGAAUUGCAUCUGAAACUGCGAGUCUUGAGUGUAGGAGGGGAGAAUGGAACUUCUGGUGGAGCGGUGAAAUGCGUAGAUAUCAGAAGGAACGCCGGCGGCGAAAGCGAUUCUCUGGCCUAUUACUGACACUCAGUGUGCGAAAGCUAGGGGAGCAAACGGGAUUAGAUACCCCGGUAGUCCUAGCCGUAAACGAUGGGCACUAAGUAGAGGGGUUUA